CGUGAAGAAGCGGGGAUUAUACUAUAAGACGAGAAGACCCCAUGGAGCUUUAAACCCAACAGACAACCCUUAGCCCCUCACCCCCCAAAACUUUUAGGCCCUGUUUGCUGGUUUUAGGUUGGGGUGACCGCGGAGUAAAACUUAUCCUCCACAAUGUAUGGGACUCCUCCCCUUAUCCACGAGCCACUGCUCUAAGAAUCAACAAAUUGACAACAAAUGAUCCAAUUUUCUGAUCAAUGAACCAAGUUACCCUGGGGAUAACAGCGCAAUCCAUUUUAAGAGCCCUUAUCGACAAAUGGGUUUACGACCUCGAUGUUGGAUCAGGGUACCCAAGUGGUG
rnacentral:rRNA from 1 species